rnacentral:piRNA from 1 species
UCCAGGUUUCUGUGCGAAUCAGCUUUGUGUC